CUUCUUCUCAUCCCUCCUGUCUCACUCUCGUCUUCUCUUCAUUCUCUUCUCUCCUAGAAAUCUCAACUAUAUCCUUCAACAUCGCGCUUUGGGAAUUUCUCUCUCUCCAGAGCCCAGUCCUCAUUGUCCCUAAUUUCACUUCUCUCUCUGUAAAUCAACCCUAAAUCUUCCAUCUCUAAACCCUCAAUGGAUCCGACACCUUCUUCUACCAAAUCCAAUCACAGCCACCAAAACCUAACCAAAACCCCAUAACCCAGCCAUCAACUCCAGUUCUUAAAAGCCUACCCGUCACCAAACCCCGAGUCAACCCUAAAAGAAUCUCCGUCGGAGCACCCGGACGAAUUCUUCGCUCGAAUCCAAGACUAGAAGCUAAAGAAGAAGGCCUCCACGUUCCUCUUGGCCCCAAUUGAUGCCUCUAGAGAGAGCCUCCUCACGGCUCAUCGAUUACUCAGUACGUCUCUUUCUCGAAAUGGAUUAAUUUGGUUGUUUGUUUUGACAGUGGAUGGUACGAAUCAGUGUUGUUAUCAGGUAUUGCGCUGUGGAAGACCGGAGUUCAUUCGUUGCUUUUCAAGCCAAUACCAGUGUUGUUAUCAGCUUGGUCUGAGAUGCAGAACAUGACGUUGCCAGGUUAAAGGCUGCAUGCAGAUAAUCAUAGUGUGCAUGUCUUGACACGUUCUAGAUCAAAGGCUGAGUUAAUUGUUCCGGGUAAGAAGUCGGGAACUUUCCAGGAAUCGUAAUUGCAGAGGAGCCAGAGUGGAAAGAUAGCAUUCGAGGUUCAAUUGGUGUUGUAAAUAUGGCUGGAAUGCCCAUUAGUACAAGAUGGACUUCUGUGGUUUACUACCUUUACCUUUCUUUUGGUUAUCCUACCUGUCUUUUUACAGUAAGUAGUGACAAUAUGAAAAGAAGUUCUCGAUAACUCUUGUUUUGUUACUUUAUAGUAAGCAUACAUCAAGUACUCAUUACAGAUAUAGAGAUGGUAAAAGAAAUUAGCCUGCGUACAUCUUUGAGCUUGGGGAUUUCCUUUUAUCUAGCUAAGGACCGCUAGCCACUAUUCGACCAAGGCAUUCUAGCUUCAAAUGGUAUGGUAGGCCUCAUGUGAGCUGUACCCGUCCCAAGCCUCCCAGAAAGGUCCCCAAGUCACCUCAUAAGGUUGGAAGUAGUUCUUUUGUUCAUAGUGUACCUUGCUUAUGGAUAUGAUGAUGGCAGUGCUCUAUCAUACAUUCUUCUUACAAUGACCAGUUGGUUCAUGGCACUUUCUUGGCUUUUUGCUCCCUAUUUGUUCAACCCAUGCCCAUCUGGGUUUGAGUGGCAGAACUGAAAGAUUGGUGGGCAUUUGGGUGGAGUUUGCUUAGUCUACAUUACGUGAAAUUAAAAGAACUUUUUGUUUCUGGGGAGCGCAAAUGUUUCCAAAGAUUGAUUGGAAUACUAUUGCAGUUGAGAUUAUUGAUUUGCUGGGUAUUUGAAAACAGAGAGAUAAAGUCAUUUAUAUGAGAUAUUGAAAGCCUGGAUGAAGUGAAGAAGAGGUUCAAGGAAGAGUAGUUGUUCAGCCUUUAGUGAUAUUGUUCUCAAUGUUGUUCUUGUGUUUUAAUGUAUGAAUGAUUG
rnacentral:lncRNA from 1 species